rnacentral:rRNA from 1 species
CCUACGGGGGGCAGCAGUCGAGAAUCAUUCACAAUGGGGGAAACCCUGAUGGUGCGACGCCGCGUGGGGGAAUGAAGGUCUUCGGAUUGUAAACCCCUGUCAUGUGGGAGCAAAUUAAAAAGAUAGUACCCCAAGAGGAAGAGACGGCUAACUCUGUGCCAGCAGCCGCGGUAAUACAGAGGUCUCAAGCGUUGUUCGGAAUCACUGGGCGUAAAGCGUGCGUAGGCUGUUUCGUAAGUCGUGUGUGAAAGGCGCGGGCUCAACCCGCGGACGGCACAUGAUACUGCGAGACUAGAGUAAUGGAGGGGGAACAGGAAUUCUCGGUGUAGCAGUGAAAUGCGUAGAUAUCGAGAGGAACACUCGUGGCGAAGGCGGGUUCCUGGACAUUAACUGACGCUGAGGCACGAAGGCCAGGGGAGCGAAAGGGAUUAGAUACCCCAGUAGUC